rnacentral:misc_RNA from 1 species
CGCACCUUGCGCUCCUUGGUAUUCCGAGGAGCAUGCCUGUUUGAGUGUCAGUAAAUUCUCAACCCCUCCAGCUUUUGUGUUGGACUUUGGGGCUUGGAUAUGGGGUUUGUCGGCCUUUGUUAUAAGGGUCAACUGCUCUGAAAUACAUUAGCGGAAACCGUUUGCGAUCCGUCACAGGUGUGAUAACUAUCUACGCCAAGGGGAUUGCUUUCUGUGGUGUUCAGCUGCCAAUUGUCUGCAAGGACAACAUAUACUGAUUAUUUGACCUCAAAUCAGGUAGGACUACCCGCUGAACUUAA